GACCACACGAAGCUGGAAUCGCUAGUAAUCGCGAAUCAGAAUGUCGCGGUGAAUACGUUCCCGGGUCUUGUACACACCGCCCGUCACACCAUGGGAGUCAGCAACGCCCGAAGUCAGUGACCUAACCGAAAGGGAGGAGCUGCCGAAGGCGGGGCCGGUAACUGGGGUGAAGUCGUAACAAGGUAGC
rnacentral:rRNA from 1 species